GACCCGGGCAACAUCGUCAAACUGCGGGAAAGCCCUGCCACGACUCUCGGGACCUCACCGCCCCAGCAAUGGAAGCGGGUGCCUGCGGCCAACGGCCGCGGGUACGGUAAAGCACCGAAGUCUAGGGGCGAUCCGCCGCCAAACCCUCCCCGCACCGGGAGGGCCCAGCUCACAGGCCAGACGGCGAUGGGCGCUCUCGCGCUUAAGAUAUGGUCGAGUGACCCGCCGAGAGGCGGGUGCAACUCAGGAACGUCCGUAGGUGAACCUGCGGAAGGAUCAUU
rnacentral:rRNA from 1 species